rnacentral:rRNA from 1 species
UACGAAGGGAGCGAGCGUUGUUCGGAAUCACUGGGCUUAAAGCGUACGUAGGCGGAUUUACAAGUCAGGAGUGAAAUCCCAGGGCUUAACCUUGGAAUUGCUUUUGAAACUGUAAGUCUGGAAUCCGGUAGAGGUUGGCGGAACUCCGAGUGUAGAGGUGAAAUUCGCAGAUAUUCGGAAGAACACCAGUGGCGAAGGCGGCCAACUGGACCGGUAUUGACGCUGAGGUACGAAAGCGUGGGUAGCAAACAGG